UGACUUGAGCGUACGCAUUUUCCACAAUCAUUAAAUGAGCGUCAAGGAUUGCUAAUAGAUGGCAAUACGUAUGUAUUAAAUAUAUUUAUUUUCUUUUUAGUAAUAAAUAAGUUGAUACUACAUUUAUCUGACUGCUGCAUUUAUAGAAGAUGUAGGUAAAUUUAAACUUUGCUUAGAAUGCACCGAAAACAGUUGUGUACAACAAUAGUGACACAUUUAUUCAUAUUUAGUUGGUUCUCUUAAUACUUUGUUUAAUCCAUGGUUUAGACACUGGUUUAGCCGUUUUGUUUAUAAACUAAAUGCUAAAAGAUGAGCUAGAGCAAGAAGAUAGUACUCUAAAGUUUUAUCUUCAUUUUAUAAAUGAUCUGCGUGAUUUUCGAGUGUUUUCAUGGGCCGUGGGCCAUUGAUGCGGCUGGCGACUGUCAAUUUAGCUCAGUACAGCUUGCGCCGUCGGUUGUGGUGCAUGCGUUAUUUUCUGAUCCCCACGUCAAAUGUUUUUUCUUUUUUCGUUUUGUUUUAAUUCUGAUAUCGUGUUCUGCUUGAUAUACCACCGAUGGUAUUAUUUAUAACAAGCGUGUAUGAGGUUUUGAGAGUAAUUGAAGUUCCUGCAAACCACGUAGCAUACCUGCAUCUUGGAAUUAUGAAGACAGAUAGGAUUCUGAGUGUCCAGAAAGUGAAUUGUCAGUCUUAUGUCAGAUUGCAAAUAUUGGAAAUUACUGCAGAGUGAGAAAUUGAAUUCCCUUACUUUUAAAUCAUUCAUUAAAUUGCUACUGUAAAUGUUUUGCUCAACAAAUGUUUGUCGCAUCUGUAGUUUCCUGUAAUACAGUACUAGUUUGUGCCGACGAAACUCAUUUGUUUGCCACUGUUGGUUCAUUUUACCUGAGUAGGUGGCGUAAUUAUCGGAAGCAGCCGUGUCUCUAAUUCAAAGUUUUUCUGCUCAGUUGGUGCUGUCUAUGUGCUCUGUUUGUUAUUCUCUUCUCGAUGAUGAGAAUAAUGUGAAUAAAUAAAUUAAAAUAAAUCCCAGUAAUAUGGGUUGCCAAUGUAUCAGAGUUGAAUUUCAAAUGGAGUCGCAAAUAACAGGAAUAAUAACAAGAAUGAGGAAGGAGUAGUAAUUGUUGGAGAACAAGAGUGUAGGUUGAGAAAGCCACCCCGAGAACAGGAGUGGCUCGGAUUUUUAAAUUUUUUGGCGGCGUGUCGUUCUAUAAGACAGUCUAAAGUCGCUAACUGCAAUUUAUUUGUAAAUUUUUAUCCUUUUAUUCAAUAUUCUUAUUAAGAAAAUGAUUAAGUUCUGACAGAGAACACAUAGGUAUGGAAAUGUUGUUCUUUGUUUAAAUUUUCAUUUAAAUUAUUUUUUUGGUACCAUAGAUAAAAUUGUAAUUAGCCAACGAAAAGGCAACAAAAAUUUAAUCUUCGUGUUUCUAAAGACUGAUACUGAUUUUUGUUUAUUUUAAAGAUUUUGCACCUGCACCCGACAUUGUAGGAAAACCAUUCUUGCAUCAGAUUGGAUUUUGCCCAGUGGUCUGACAUCUUAGAAGGACCAUUUAUGCAUCAGAUAGAAUUUUGCCCAGUGGUCUGACAUCGUAGAAGAACCAUUUAUGCAUCAGAUUGAAUUUUGCCCAGUGGUCUGACAUCGUAGAAGAACCAUUUAUGCAUCAGAUAGGAUUUUGCCCAUGGGUCUGACAUCGUAGAAGAACCAUUCUUACAUCAGAUUGGAUUUUGCCCAUGGGUCUGACAUCGUAGAAGAACCAUUCUUACAUCAGAUUGGAUUUUGCCCAUGGGUCUGACAUCAUAGAAGAACCAUCCUUACAUCAGAUUGGGUUUUGCCCAUGGAUCUGACAUCGUAGAAGAACCAUUCUUGCAUCAGAUAGAAUUUUGCCCAUGGGUCUGACAUCGUAGAAGAACCAUUCCUGUAUCAGAUAGGAUUUUGCCCAUGGGUCUGACAUCGUAGAAGAACCAUUCUUGCAUCAGAUUGGAUUUUGCCCAUGGGUCUGACAUCGUAGAAGAACCAUUCUUGCAUCAGAUUGGAUUUUGCCCAUGGGUCUGACAUCGUAGAAGAACCAUUCUUGCAUCAGAUAUUAAGGGUUUUGCCCAUGGAUCUGACAUCGUAGAAGAACCAUUCUUGCAUCAGAUAGAAUUUUGCCCAUGGGUCUGACAUCGUAGAAGAACCAUUCUUGUAUCAGAUAGGAUUUUGCCCAUGGGUCUGACAUCGUAGAAGAACCAUUCUUGCAUCAGAUUGGAUUUUGCCCAUGGGUCUGACAUCGUAGAAGAACCAUUCUUGCAUCAGAUUGGGUUUUGCCCAUGGAUCUGACAUCGUAGAAGAACCAUUCUUGCAUCAGAUAGAAUUUUGCCCAUGGGUCUGACAUCGUAGAAGAACCAUUCCUGUAUCAGAUAGGAUUUUGCCCAUGGGUCUGAUAUCGUAGAAGAACCAUUCUUGCAUCAGAUAGUAAGUAUUAAGUUUCUAUAUCAAUUUCCUAAAUAAUUUUUGUGAUUUUCUCACAACUUGACCUCCAAAAUUGCAUUUUUAUGUUGGAAGGACUAAGUUUUCUUGUUUUGCAUUACCACACUAAAAGUGUCUGUGUUUACAUACAAAUUAGUUUUUCUUAUCUCGUGCAAUUCUUGUGCGAUCGCCACGCGGUUGGUUUGCGUAGCACGUUAGUCUUAUUUUUGUUGUCUGGUGAUCUGCACGCACAUUUUCUUCAUUAUUCUUGAGUUUCUUAAUUUAUCUUCGCGUUGUUACGUAAUAAUUUUGAAUGCUUUUUGUAUUGUGCGCGCGUGAUGUGCGGCUUCGCUAAAUCCGGAUUGCACCUUUAUUGGGGCAGAAAUUGUUAGCUGUUGAUAUUUUGUAACUGUAAUGUAACUAUUGUUAAAUGUUGUCAAUAAAACACAAUGUAUAAUUAUAA